GCCUCCAGCCCAGGGCACAGUGCUUCCCACACAGCGGCAAGUCUUCUCUACUUGGUUAAACAUUUCUAGAAUCACCCUCACAGGCACACCUAGAAAUACGUCGUCCGUGGUGACCUUAAAUCCUACCAAGGUGACAAUAAGGAUUGACCAUCACGGCAGCAGAUUUAGGUUCUGCUGAGAAAAUGACCUCUAACUCUAGGUCACCUGAAGCUGGUUGAGGGCACAGGGUUGAGAAUGUGAUGUCUAUGGAUGGUUCCGGCACGCAAGAUCGCCACACGCCUGUGAUCCCAGGACUUGUGAGUGGGAGGCGGGAGGACCCGGAGUUCAAGGUCAUUUUUCGGCCGCCUGUUGGGUCAGAAGGCAGCCCGAGCCACAUGAGACCCCGGCUGGAAAAAGAAACAAAACUCCUGGCACACUAUAAAAGGCGGGCUGAAGCCUAGAAUUUUCCAUGAGGGUUUAUUUAUUUAUUUUGGUCACCUUUUAUGUGUUCUGUGUCCUGAGCUCUAGAAGUUGGCACCGGCACCUGUUUUCGUUUAUAGAGCUUUUCGCGGCAGCGUUCUGGCUUUGAUGAAGACUGCGGCCAGCGAGAGCGCAGCUCACGUGGAGCACAGAAGGCCAGAAAGCGCCUGUGAACGGAGGACUCUGCGGUUACUCCUUUGUCUCAUUUGAAUAUAUAGAAGACUGAAGAACCAAAAUUACUCCCGAAGGAAGAUGGGGCCCAUAAAGCAGACUUAAUUCAUUGAAACCAUGGACAGCAUUAUAAAUUCCCUUAUCAACGUUCAUCAUUGACGUGCACGAGUAAGAAAGACUUGUUGAUGGGAAUCCUUCCUUCUGCCCUUUUCUUUCCUUUCUCUUUUUCUUUUUGCUUUUAUUGAUCCUUUUUUGGAUUUCGCAUCAUGCAUUCUGACCCCACUUCUCUCCCUGACCCCUGGCAUCUGCCCUCUGCCCUUGUAACCCACCCCCAAAACACCAAAUCAAAUUUAAAAGAAAAACCCCAAACCAAGCAAC